GUUGAAUUAAAUCAAAUUAAGAUCUGUGUUACAAGAUCAUGAUUACAUUGUUGAUACAUAUGAUUAGCAGGUGUUGUAUUAACUUGUGCAUUACAAAAUCUGUGUUAACUACUGUUGUUUAUCAUUUAUGUGUCACAUGUUGUUGCUGCUGCUAUGUUACAUCUUGUCAUUUUAUUAGUACUAACAUUCUCAAUUGGUUGGUCUUUUGUAGAGCCUGCCCCAAGAAAGGCUAGGACACGAACAAAAGGGAUAUUGCUUGACAAGAUGACACGAUCAAUGAAGAGCAAGUUGCCUAUAACUGUUGCAGAUGGAUUCAAAAGACCCCAUGACCCGGUUCAAGCGGCGAAAUUUGCUUCCGAAGCUGGUGUCGUUGUUAGAGAUCAUGUUCCUGUCUUCACCCAUUGGAAACAUUACAAGGAAAAGGAGAGUAAACCCAUUUUUGAUAACUUCAUAGGAAAACUAGGAGUAAGUUCCUUUAUACUCAGUACAUGUUGCAUUUGACUAUAACAAUGUUCAUCUUUUGCUGCUAAUGACAGAUCUCUCUCAAAAUGUUUCAGUUAAGGCUGCGUGUGGACACCAGAGAAAAGGCGAUUGAGGAGGCUUGCUACAGUGUGUUCCAAUCUGCUAUAAGACAGAAGCGCUACAGGCUGAAGAAAAAAUACUUCACUGGGAUUCCAAUUGAUCAGAUCAGAAGAACAUCACCUGUCUCCUACAUGACUGAUGAAAUGUGGAACAAACUGGUUGAAAAGUGGAUGAAUCCCAAAAACUUGCAAACAGCAGAGAAGAACACGCAAAACCGUGGCGAAGUCAAGUUCCACCAGACAACGGGUUCUCGCUGCUAUGUUGCACAACUGCAUGAAUAUACACAAAAGAAAAUGGCUGCAGCACGUGCAAAUCAAGAAG